GCCUUUGUGGUGUAGUGGUCAGCACAUUCGACGCGUAAUCAGGAGGUCCGUGGUUCGAUCCUCGGUGAGGGCA
rnacentral:tRNA from 1 species